UACGAAGGGUGCAAGCGUUAAUCGGAAUUAUUGGGCGUAAAGCGCACGUAGGCGGCUUGGCAAGUCGGAUGUGAAAUCCCUCGGCUCAACCAAGGAAGUGCAUCCGAAACUGCAGAGCUUGAGUACCAAAGAGGAUCGCGGAAUUCCCGGUGUAGAGGUGAAAUUCGUAGAUAUCGGGAGGAACACCAGUGGCGAAGGCGGCGAUCUGGGUGGAUACUGACGCUGAGGUGCGAAAGCGUGGGGAGCAAACAGG
rnacentral:rRNA from 1 species